ensembl:rRNA 5S_rRNA 5S ribosomal RNA
GCUUACGGCCAUACCAGCCCAAGAACACUUGGAGUCGUCUGAUCUGGGAAGCUAAGAAGGCUUGGGCCUGGUUAUUACCUGGAUGGGAGACCUCCUGGGAAUACCAGGUUCUGUAAGCC